rnacentral:rRNA from 1 species
UACGGGGGGAGCAAGCGUUGUUCGGAUUUACUGGGCGUAAAGGGCGCGUAGGCGGCCAGCGCAAGUCAGUUGUGAAAUCUCCGGGCUUAACUCGGAAAGGUCAACUGAUACUGCGCGGCUAGAGUGCAGAAGGGGCAACUGGAAUUCUCGGUGUAGCGGUGAAAUGCGUAGAUAUCGAGAGGAACACCUGCGGCGAAGGCGGGUUGCUGGGCUGACACUGACGCUGAUGCGCGAAAGCCAGGGGAGCGAACGGG